GAAAUAAUCAAGUAGAACAACAACAACAUAACAAGUAGUAGCUUUUUAUUGCUAUUACUUGUUAUGUUCAUAUCAAGCAAGAGGACAUAAGCUUCCAACUAAUUUUCAUGGGAGAUGGCAUCGGUGCUACAAACCGGAGGAGAUCUGGUUUUGAGCUAUAAUCUGUGUUUUUUCUUGUUUUUCGACUGUGAAGCUCAAUAAAUUUGGCAAUAUUUGGGAGCACAAGCUCCCUACAAUGCAGAUGUAACAAAGGGACCUUAGACAAGACACUUCCUUUCUGAACAUCCAAACCUUCCGGCCUCUUUAAUCUGUAGGGUUUACCUGUUAUCGGCUCAACAUCUACUCUCGGCAUCUGCUUCCAUUUGCGAUGGACAAACCAACCAUACUUGUAGUCG
rnacentral:misc_RNA from 1 species